rnacentral:rRNA from 1 species
UUAAAUUGAAGAGUUUGAUCAUGGCUCAGAUUGAACGCUGGCGGCAGGCCUAACACAUGCAAGUCGAACGGUAACAGGAAGAAGCUUGCUUCUUUGCUGACGAGUGGCGGACGGGGGAGUAAUGUCUGGGAAACUGCCUGAUGGAGGGGGAUAACUACUGGAAACGGUAGCUAAUACCGCAUAACGUCGCAAGACCAAAGAGGGGGACCUUCGGGCCUCUUGCCAUCGGAUGUGCCCAGAUGGGAUUAGCUAGUAGGUGGGGUAAAGGCUCACCUAGGCGACGAUCCCUAGCUGGUCUGAGAGGAUGACCAGCCACACUGGAACUGAGACACGGUCCAGACUCCUACGGGAGGCAGCAGUGGGGAAUAUUGCACAAUGGGCGCAAGCCUGAUGCAGCCAUGCCGCGUGUAUGAAGAAGGCCUUCGGGUUGUAAAGUACUUUCAGCGGGGAGGAAGGGAGUAAAGUUAAUACCUUUGCUCAUUGACGUUACCCGCAGAAGAAGCACCGGCUAACUCCGUGCCAGCAGCCGCGGUAAUACGGAGGGUGCAAGCGUUAAUCGGAAUUACUGGGCGUAAAGCGCACGCAGGCGGUUUGUUAAGUCAGAUGUGAAAUCCCCGGGCUCAACCUGGGAACUGCAUCUGAUACUGGCAAGCUUGAGUCUCGUAGAGGGGGGUAGAAUUCCAGGUGUAGCGGUGAAAUGCGUAGAGAUCUGGAGGAAUACCGGUGGCGAAGGCGGCCCCCUGGACGAAGACUGACGCUCAGGUGCGAAAGCGUGGGGAGCAAACAGGAUUAGAUACCCUGGUAGUCCACGCCGUAAACGAUGUCGACUUGGAGGUUGUGCCCUUGAGGCGUGGCUUCCGGAGCUAACGCGUUAAGUCGACCGCCUGGGGAGUACGGCCGCAAGGUUAAAACUCAAAUGAAUUGACGGGGGCCCGCACAAGCGGUGGAGCAUGUGGUUUAAUUCGAUGCAACGCGAAGAACCUUACCUGGUCUUGACAUCCACAGAACUUUCCAGAGAUGGAUUGGUGCCUUCGGGAACUGUGAGACAGGUGCUGCAUGGCUGUCGUCAGCUCGUGUUGUGAAAUGUUGGGUUAAGUCCCGCAACGAGCGCAACCCUUAUCCUUUGUUGCCAGCGGUCCGGCCGGGAACUCAAAGGAGACUGCCAGUGAUAAACUGGAGGAAGGUGGGGAUGACGUCAAGUCAUCAUGGCCCUUACGACCAGGGCUACACACGUGCUACAAUGGUGCAUACAAAGAGAAGCGACCUCGCGAGAGCAAGCGGACCUCAUAAAGUGCGUCGUAGUCCGGAUUGGAGUCUGCAACUCGACUCCAUGAAGUCGGAAUCGCUAGUAAUCGUGGAUCAGAAUGCCACGGUGAAUACGUUCCCGGGCCUUGUACACACCGCCCGUCACACCAUGGGAGUGGGUUGCAAAAGAAGUAGGUAGCUUAACCUUCGGGAGGGCGCUUACCACUUUGUGAUUCAUGACUGGGGUGAAGUCGUAACAAGGUAACCGUAGGGGAACCUGCGGUUGGAUCACCUCCUUACCUUAAAGAAGC